rnacentral:misc_RNA from 1 species
CCGAGUUAGGGUCCCCUGGGCCCGACCUCCUACCCUGUGUCUACCUUACCUUUUUGUUGCCUCGGCGGAUCCGUUCCCUUGAGUGGGGACCGCCGGAGAGCAGUCAAGCCGCUCUCUGGCCCGCGUCCGUCGAUGGCCUAUUUACAACACCCUUGCUGAAAUGUGUCGUCUGAGUGGAUACGAAAACCAAUUAA